AUCCCCGCUCAGCAUUUGACAACCGUCUGUCGCGGUGAGCGGUGUGUGUGCGUCUCGCAGCGGUUUCGUGGUGCUGUUCACCGUGUGUACUCGUUUCCGUCGGCUCAUUGCCCCCCAAAAUCACCCGCGUCCCGAACCAGCUGCCGCCACCAGCUCUAGCGCGCAAUGACAAAGCGCGCCGCCGCCGUGUUCACGAAGUGAUGCCGGUGCCGUCGCCGGAGGGUGUGAGUGCGCGCCCCCCCUGCAGCAGCAGCAGCACACCAGCGAAACAAAUAUAAACACUCGUACAAAUGUGGAAGCAAGUGCAAAUGGGACUCCGGGCGUUCUUGCUGCUCGCGUCGCGAGUAUGGAACUGCUUAUGCUUUAUGGUCAAGAAGCAGACGCGAUCAAUAAUCCAACACCAGUCGGUGAAAUAUGAUAUUUUUCCAUUAUCACCACUCUCAAGGCAUAGAUUAAGUAUAGUAAAGCGAAAGACGCUAGUGUUGGACCUGGACGAGACUCUUAUACACUCGUUUCACGAUGGCGUCGUUCGACAAACAGUCCGACCAGGCACACCGCCUGAUUUCAUCCUCAAAGUGACUAUCGACAGACAUCCGGUGCGCUUCUUCGUGCACAAACGGCCGCACGUCGAUACUUUCCUCGACAUCGUCUCACGAUGGUAUGAAUUGGUUGUCUUCACCGCGAGCAUGGAGAUCUACGGUAAAGCCGUGGCGGAUCGUCUCGACGGCGGCCGCGGAAUCCUCCACAAGCGUUUCUACCGACAGCACUGCACGCCCGACAUGGGCUCGUACACGAAGAACCUGAGCGCGAUUUGCAGUGAUCUCUCAUCGGUUUUUAUCCUAGACAAUAGCCCGGGCGCAUACAGGGCAUACCCUGAUAAUGCCAUACCGAUAAAGUCGUGGUUCUCGGAUCCGACGGACGUGGCGCUGCUGAAUCUGUUGCCGGUGCUGGACGCGCUGCGUUUCACGACGGACGUGCGCAGCGUACUCUCGCGCAAUCUACACCUGCAUCGCCUAUGGUAGAUUGGUUGCCUACUUUCACAAUAAACACACUCACACACAACAAUCCCGCCCAUAAAACAUACAUUUAAGUUGGAUCUUUUGCGCAUCUACAACUACCAAACCAAUUGGGUACAAACUACAAGCAACAUAACCUUAAACACUUAAAAACACCUUUGACUAUUAAUAUAUAAGUAUAUAUUAUUUAUUUUUUGCGGAUAACCUAAAAAGAAAGAAUGCAACAUUUCAGAACACAAAAUAUCUCCGAAUAUUUUGCUGUGCGUUAUUAACACUUAGUAAAAUUGAUCAGUUUGCGAUAAAUAAACACUUUACACACAUGCACAUACUCAUUACACAUCAUCCACUCAAAAAUUAUCAGUUAUUCGAUAUUAGACAUGAGAAAAACCUCACAAAAUGUUAGUAUUUUAAUGCGAAUUGUUAAUUUUUGUUGAUUUGAUUUUGUUGAACGGCCAGAACUUGUCAAUAUGCUAUUUAUGUAAUAAGUUUUGUACAUGUAAUAUUUAUUUUCUGUCAAAAGUGCAGUGUUACGCCCUAAAAGUUAAAAUUUUAAGGAAAAAACUUGUAACACUGCACUUUAUACAGAUGAAAACUAUUUUUAUGUUUGCUGCGCUGUUAAUAACUCGUGUACAUUUGUAAGAUACGUUUAAGUGGACUUAAGUAUCAACCAAAUACAUACAGUUUAUGUUAGGCAACACAAACUACACGCAAAACACACAACACACACAGAAAACCAACAGAUACAAAUAAUAUCGUACCUGAUUUUCACCACAUUUCACACUGAGAUCAUUUUAACUAGCGUUUAAACUUGAGAUAAUUCUUAAUAUGUACAGAAUAAUAAUUGUUAGCGUUAAUGAAAGGACCUAAUCGAUGUUAAACACAUGCGACGCCCAAACAAACAAAACGUUGAAGUGGAAAGAGGUAAAAUAUCAUAGAAAAACAUAAAAAAGGUUACCGUACAACUUAAGUAAUAAUAAAACUUGUUUACGCGGCGUUGUCAAAGACGAAUGAGAGUAAGAUAUUUUUAUAUGUCAUUACUUUGAGGUUAGUGAUUUAAGGUUAACUGUAACCUAACCUAAAAGAAACUUCUCAUCUCGUACGCGUACUUUUCCACUUUACCAAUUUCGUAGACUUCUCCUAAAUAAUACUAACUAAUAAUAAGCAAAACUAGAGAACAUAACCUAAGAUAUUGUAAAUAUAGUCCUAGUUAAAGUGAAAUGUGAAGAUAUUAGUGAUUACAUUAAGUACGAAUUGAACACAUUUUCAGAACGCCGCUGCGCAGAGUUUGAAUUUUGUAAAUUUUGAGGUUAGCGUGUUCUGGACUUCGAUAUUCGAAAUAAACCUGCAAGUUUA